AUCCAUCCAUCCUUCUUGCUUCUUCAUUGUGCUCAAGUAAGUUCCAAUAUCCCUCAAUUUGCCUUCAUACAAAUCCUUAUGGAAAAUUUCAGCCUCAUCAUUAAAAUCCAUUCCACCUGUAGAAAAUAAAUUUCCGUAGCUCUUGUCUUCUUGAUCUUCACUCCUUUCAUGAGACACCAUUUCUUCUUCAAAGGUAUAUCUGGCUCUAGACAACAUGUCUGCCACUAAGUUUUCUU
rnacentral:lncRNA from 1 species